rnacentral:lncRNA from 14 species
CAGAAGGAAUGUGAGUGGGUCACUGACCUGUUUAUUUAUAUCCCAUGCAAGUGCUGGAAUAGCUGACCUGUUCCCUCUCAGCUUUGCCCAGUGCUCCAUGUGAGAUUCCAGCUGCUCUUAGCUUUGUCCCUGCCCUGGUUUGGCUAGAGGGAACUGCCUGGGGUAGAGAAUGGGAAGGGGAGCAACAGUGACCACUGGUUCCGUGUGGAUGGGCUCAGGAUCUGCAGCUUCCCUCAGGGCUGCUGCUGUGGGAUUGAGUCCUGGCUGUGCAGUGAAGCAUCCCCUUGGGAUAAAGGGAUGUGAGUGAGGCCGUUUCUGACACUGGUGAAUGUGUGAGUGUCCAAAGGCUUCCUAAGGCACACGGAGCCAGCGGGGUGAGCUUGUGCUGUUAACGGCAGCUGGAGUGGGUCUGAGUGGAGGGGGGUGUGAUGUACAUCACUGCCCUGCAGCUCCCUCCCGGCUGUCCUGUGCCUGUCCUCAUUCCCGACGGGCAGUGUUCCUGGCCCAGGGCUGAUGGGGCUCCAAGCCCGUGCCCUGUGCUGGCCGCGAGCAGGCAGAGCUGUGUGACCCCAGCUGAACGCUGCGGCAGGGUCGGGAUGUGCCUGUCUCCUAACGAGCCUCUCGCUGACGCCCCAGGACCAGGAGCCGGCAGCAGGCGCCGGGCGCUGCAUGGAAGCGGCAGCCGCCGGUGGCUCCGGCCCCGUCCCCUGCGGGUGAGCAGCGUGGGAGCCCCGCAGAGCCCUCCUGCAAGGUGCUGCGGAGCCUGCUGCGAGCUGUGCAGUGGACCCCGGGGUCCCCCCGGCACGGAGGGGUCGGCAGGAGCCUCCUGCAGCGCAGCACCCCCACCCGGCCAGACCCCAAGGUGCGUGCGAGCCAAGGGGUCCCGGGACGGGGUGGAUGGGGGGUCGGUCACACAGGCACAGCCCCGGUCCUGGCUCUGCACUGCUGUGACUCAGCACCAGACCUUGUACACUGCCCCUCGGUUCUGCUUCACCCCCCGCAGGCUCCGUGAUGAGGAGUGUUACUGGCACCCCCCACAC